UGGGGAAUCUUGGACAAUGGGGGCAACCCUGAUCCAGCAAUGCCGCGUGUGUGAAGAAGGCCUGCGGGUUGUAAAGCACUUUCAGCAGGGAAGAAACAGCAGAGGGUUAAUACCCCUCAGUCUUGACGUCACCUACAGAAGAAGCACCGGCUAACUCCGUGCCAGCAGCCGCGGUAAUACGGAGGGUGCGAGCGUUAAUCGGAAUUACUGGGCGUAAAGCGCGCGUAGGCGGUUUGGUCAGUCGGAUGUGAAAGCCCCGGGCUUAACCUGGGAAUUGCAUUCGAAACUGCCAGGCUAGAGUAUGGGAGAGGGAAGUGGAAUUUCCGGUGUAGCGGUGAAAUGCGUAGAUAUCGGAAGGAACACCAGUGGCGAAGGCGACUUCCUGGCCCAAUACUGACGCUGAGGUGCGAAAGCGUGGGUAGCGAACAGGAUUAGAUACCCGUGUAGUCC
rnacentral:rRNA from 1 species